UGUUUGUUCAUGUGUGUGUGUGUGGUGCGGGUCAGGCGUUGGCCCAGGCUAUAAAGGAGGCCAAAGAGCAGCACCCUGACAUGUCAGUGACCCGCGUGGUGGUGCACAAAGAGACGGAGCUGGCCGAGGAGGACGACUGAAGCGCAGAGCUGAAGUCGGGCUGGUCAGAGCGGGUCGCCGGUGGAGGAGGAACAUCUGCAUCUUCUAUCAUUCACAACCAGAACCACUUAGCUAACAUUUGUAGCAUUUUAUUUUUUUAGUGUUUGUUUUAUCUCUAUUUUACCCCCCCUCCCCUCUCAAAAGAUCGUCUUGACCAUUUAUGAAGACCAGAUUUAUGUUAUUUUUAUUGUCGAUUAGUAAUUCACAUUCCUAGUUCACGGGUUUGGAGAGGAGGAGUCCUGUUGGGGCGUAAUAUUAAUUAAUAAUAAGAGGAGCGUGAGCAUAUGAAGGUGACAUGAACCAUUACUGUAGGGGGCGGGGCUGAUGAUGGGGGCGGGACUACAGUGUAAUUGUCAAUUGGUUUUAUAAUGUCAUAAUGGGAAGGGAUAGCACAGGAUGAUUGUGAUUGGUGGACAGCGCUGUCAAUCAUUCCUCUAUGCAGACCAACAUUCCACUGAGAGGAUGAAGAAGAACCUCUUGUACCUCUCUGAGAACCAGGUGAAACCUUACACACACACAAAACAAAAACAAGAAACCUAGGCAGCUCUAUGGAAAGUUUUGAUUUCCAGCCAUUUUUCUGGCACCAACAUUCAGAUAUGUAUUUGUAGAUCAUCUUUUUUUUUUUUAAUCUGCUGAUUUGGUGGAGAUCCCGAGUGUUUUAAAUCUUUUUAGCGAAAUUUUUUGAUGAACAAAUGAACUGCCAGCGCUGAUGUUUGUAGGCCUGUGCUCCGUCUCUUUCUGUCCGCUCCUCAUCCCACCCGCUGUAUAGCAGUUAAACCGUAGCAUUGACUCUCUUUCCUUUUUUUAAGCAGCUUUGGAUGAUCUGUCAUGUUUUUAUGCCCCACCCAUUGUGUAACACUUCAAAUAAAAGUUUGUUUAUUCUCUAA